rnacentral:lncRNA from 1 species
UGAAAAGGAUGGGGGAUUUUUAAGAAAAAUUGCAAUAUUCUCAUUUAUAUUGAAGAAAAAUUGGGGCUUUUUAAGCAAAAACACAAAACUGCAGAAAAAUUGCAAAGAAAAUUGGGGAUUUUUAAGAAAAAUUGCAGAAACCUGCAUACCUUGAUUCAAGAUUGUAGCGGUGGCGACGAUGAGGUUGCGGCGGUGCGUUUAGGUUGUCGCGGCGGUGCAUUUAGGUUGCUCGUUGAAGGUUGCAGCGGCGGGUGCGUUUAGGUUGCGGCGGCGGUGCGUUUAGGGGUUUUGCAGGAGAGAAGGGUAAGUUGAAGCAGCGCAACUUGUAAAAGAGGAUUAAGGUAUUUGGCAACGGGAACUCAGAGUUUUGAGGCGGGACUGAAUUUUUUAUUUAUUUUGGGGUAUACCAACUAUUUAACUCUGUCACUAAAUACCUAUAUCUAAAUACCUCUCUAUACCUAGGACUUCUUCUUUAGUGGUUGUUGGUAUAUUAUAUCUAUACCUACGGCAUUUAUAUGUGUUACUAAAAACAACCGUUGGUAUAUGGCAAAUUUCUUGUAGUGAAUCAACAUGAGUUGAAUAGAAGAGAGAAACAAAUGUAGGUUUUGAGCUUACUUGAAUUUAAUUAAGUCAGUGACAGUUAUUUAGUGAAGUGAAGAGCCAAAUAAUGUAUUCAAGUUAAAGUCGUUUCAAUUCUCCCAAAAAUUACAUUCAAAAAAAAAAACAUCCAAACACAUAUUCUACGAGUAUUUCAAGUGUUUUGUGUUGAAAACUAAUUUCAACAAAAGAUUGAUUCUUUAUAAUUGCUAACUAGUUUUUUUAUCCUAAUUAUAUAUAUGCCAGGAUAUAUUAACACAAUCUCUAUAUGAAGUGGAAGAAGACCUUGGUCGUGCCGACAUACUAUCUCAGGCUCUAAAUAGGAUGCUGGUCGUUUUAGAGUCUAGGAUUUGAGAUAUCUCAUAGAGAUAUAUAUAUCAACGCCAAAAACGCACCAAGCAACCUGACAUUGAUAGGCCUGAUGUUGAGGUGAAAAAACUGAAGUUGAAAAUGAAGCACUAUGAAGAGAAAGUCAAUGUAGAGAGGCAACAAUAUGAGAAAGUGAUAGAGGUAACAUGCUGAAGAUGUGGUAGAGAGACAACAAGCUAAAGAAAUAAUUGAAGAGAAAUGAUACUCACGAUCAUUUUACAAUUAUUUCUAAGGAAACUUGAACUUAUAGUACCUUGAAGUUAUAAGCUAAGCUCUUACCACUAUGGUAACACCUCAAGUUAUAAGCUAUUUUUUUUUCUUUUUAAAUCUAUUUAGC